AAGAUAAUAUAUUAGGGUAAAUGAGUUGAGGAAGUGAGGAAAAAAAUAUGGCAACAGAAAAUAUGGAAAUCAAUUAGAUAGGUUUUAGGAGGAGGGAAAUUAGGAAAUCAUGGUUAGGGUUUGGAGGAGGGGAAUUAGGAAAUAUGGUUAGGUUUUGAAGGAGGGAAAAGUGGCUAUAAUUUUUUAGGUUAAAUAUUAGGUGGAAUUAGGGCAACAAUGUUAGGUUUAUAAAUAAAAAGAAAUAUGGGGAAUUAG
rnacentral:lncRNA from 1 species